GCCUUUGUGGUGUAAUGGUCAGCACACUGAGCCGGUAUUUCAGAGGUCCGUGGUUCAAUUCCCGGCGAAGGCA
rnacentral:tRNA from 1 species